GACGAACGCUGGCGGCAUGCCUAACACAUGCAAGUCGUACGAGAUCUUCGGAUCUAGUGGCGCACGGGUGCGUAACGCGUGGGAAUCUGCCCUUGGGUUCGGAAUAACAGUGAGAAAUUACUGCUAAUACCGGAUGAUGUCUUCGGACCAAAGAUUUAUCGCCCAAGGAUGAGCCCGCGUAGGAUUAGGUAGUUGGUGGGGUAAUGGCCUACCAAGCCGACGAUCCUUAGCUGGUCUGAGAGGAUGAUCAGCCACACUGGGACUGAGACACGGCCCAGACUCCUACGGGAGGCAGCAGUGGGGAAUAUUGGACAAUGGGCGAAAGCCUGAUCCAGCAAUGCCGCGUGAGUGAUGAAGGCCUUAGGGUUGUAAAGCUCUUUUACCAGGGAUGAUAAUGACAGUACCUGGAGAAUAAGCUCCGGCUAACUCCGUGCCAGCCGCCGCAGUAACAC
rnacentral:rRNA from 1 species